rnacentral:rRNA from 1 species
CCUACGGGGGGCAGCAGUGGGGAAUAUUGCACAAUGGGGGAAACCCUGAUGCAGCGACGCCGCGUGAGUGAAGAAGUAAUUCGUUAUGUAAAGCUCUAUCAGCAGGGAAGAAACAGACGGUACCUGAGUAAGAAGCACCGGCUAAAUACGUGCCAGCAGCCGCGGUAAUACGUAUGGUGCAAGCGUUAUCCGGAUUUACUGGGUGUAAAGGGAGCGCAGGCGGCACGGCAAGCCUGAUGUGAAAGCCCGCGGCCCAACCGCGGGACUGCAUUGGGAACUACCGGGCUGGAGUGCCGGAGAGGUAG